rnacentral:sRNA from 1 species
AGCUGUGAACAGAGCACGCGCAAAUGGUUCGAUUCGAGUCGCAGUUGUAUUAGUUUUAACAAAGUUUUGUCAGAUUUAUCCAACAACUGACUUAAAGUGUAUCACAAAUGAGAUUUCCUAGUUCAAUGUGAACAAAUAUAGAACAUCCCAAAGGAAAGACCUGUUUCUUUCGGUAUUCUGGUGAUGUUGCGGAAGUGAAGGCUAAAGUGCGCCCCAGUGGGCCAGUGGACUUGCCCCAAGAAGAAAAUGGGUUCACCAAGCCAACCUAGGACGUCUCGUUGGAAGAGAGCAUUUUCGAAAGCAACUCAACUGAAUCUACAGGCGGAAACCAAAAGGCUGACCAGUUGCCAGACAGUUUGUACGACAAAUCAACUGAACCGCAAAUUAUUUUCGUGCUAUUUUUGUUAUCCAGGAGCCCAAUUGAGAUGCGAAUGGUUUGAGCUGUGGUUGAGUUCGGGAGGAGCCUACACGAAAGUAUGUUUACUAUAUCCAUAACGAGUGGAAGCUCAAUUGUUCUUGGAAGACCUCAUCAGUUCGACAUCGCUUUAAGAUUUAUUAUCAUAUAAGUAUGAACAUACGACCUUUAUUUCAUAAGAAUUUACUGGGCAUACGGA